rnacentral:rRNA from 1 species
GACAGAGGGUGCAAACGUUGUUCGGAAUUACUGGGCGUAAAGGGCUCGUAGGCGGCCAACUAAGUCGGAUGUGAAAUCCCCAGGCUUAACCUGGGAACUGCAUCCGAUACUGGAUGGCUUGAAUCCGGGAGAGGGAUGCAGAAUUCCAGGUGUAGCGGUGAAAUGCGUAGAUAUCUGGAGGAAUACCGGUGGCGAAGGCGGCAUCCUGGACCGGCAUUGACGCUGAUGAGCGAAAGCUAGGGGAGCAAACGGG